rnacentral:rRNA from 1 species
AUACGAAAGGUGCAAGCGCUGUUCGGAUUUACUGGGCGUAAAGAGAGUGUAGGUUGUUUAUUAAGUCGGAUGUGAAAUCCCGGGGCUCAACCUCGGAACUGCAUUCGAUACUGGUAGACUAGAGUUCGGGAGGGGUAAGCGGAAUUCCGUGUGUAGCAGUGAAAUGCGUAGAUAUACGGAGGAACACCUGAGGCGAAGGCGGCUUACUGGACCGAUUCUGACACUGAGACUCGAAAGCGUGGGUAGCAAACAGGAUUAGAUACCCCGGUAGUCC